rnacentral:snRNA from 1 species
AUCGCUUCUCGGCCUUUUGGCUAAGAUCAAGUGUAGUAUCUGUUCUUAUCAGUUUAAUAUCUGAUACGUCCUCUAUCCGAGGACAAUAUAUUAAAUGGAUUUCUGGAGCAGGGAGAUGGAAUAGGAGCUUGCUCCGUCCACUCCACGCAUCGACCCGGUAUUGCAGUACUUCCGGGAACGGUGCACCUCCC